GACGAACGCUGGCGGCGUGCUUAACACAUGCAAGUCGAACGGAAAGGCCCUGCUUUUGUGGGGUGCUCGAGUGGCGAACGGGUGAGUAACACGUGUGUAACCUGCCCUUGACUUUGGUAUAACUUCAGGAAACUGGGGCUAAUACCGGAUAGCAGAUCCUGCUGCAGGGUGGGGGUUGGAACGUUUCGGCGGUUGGGGUUGGACUCGCGGCUUAUCAGCUUGUUGGUGGGGUAGUGGCUUACCAAGGCUUUGACGGGUAGCCGGCCUGAGAGCGUGACCAGCCACAGUGGGACUGAGAUACGGCCCAGACUCCUACGGGAGGCAGCAGUGGGGAAUAUUGCACAAUGGGCGGAAGCCUGAUGCAGCAACGCCGCGUGCGGGAUGACGGCCUUCGGGUUGUAAACCGCUUUCGCCUGUGACGAAGCGUUAGUGACGGUAAUGGGUAAAGAAGCACCGGCUAACUACGUG
rnacentral:rRNA from 1 species